AUCAAAUAUAAACUGUGUAAUUCAGUUAAACACUAUGCUACUGCAUAGUGUAAGAAUAAAUCAAUCAAUCAAUCAAUAAGUAAAGUAUUCUAAACUAAUAUUUAAAAUGGUGAAAUUAAACAGAACCCGCGCAGCAUGAAAGCAUUUGAAUGGACAAAACCACUCAUCAUCACAGAAGAAUAGCAAAAUUAAUUAAGAUAAAUCAAAUCAAAUCACCAACCUCAACUGGUCAGAAUAAAUAAAUGAAUGAAUAACGAAUAAUGAAUAAAUGAAUGAAUGAAUGAAUGAAUAAAUCAAGGAAAAGAGAAACAACAGAAUACUAGCAAGUACGAGUAAGCAAACCCUAAUGCGCCAAAGCCACGGUGUCAAAACUAGCAUGCAAGGACUAGCUAAAAGGAACGACAUUGAAUAAGAGAACUGAAUUGCAACUGAAAAGGAAAAGAAAAGAAAGGAAACAAGAAACAGCCCACCAUCAUGGAAGAGCAACAUUAUGACCAGAGAAAGACGUCAUGAAUAAGCUGGAUUAAAGGAAAUCAAAGGAACACCAAAACAUUAAUGAAUAUCAAGGAUGCACAGGGAAAUCAAGAACAAAUCAAGAAGCGAUAAUGAAACAAAAUGUAUAACAGCGAUAACGCGACCUAAUAAAUUAGAGUAAUAAUAAAUAUAUUAAAUACAAUAUAAAAUAAAGAAUAACCAUGGAAGCAAAUCAUAAAUAUAUUAAUACUAAUACAAUCUACAGAACUUUGUACCAUCGUGUGUUAAAAUAAACUAAAUCAUAACAGUUACUUUAGUUCAAUUUUAUUCAGGACGAAUGAACAGUGACAGAGCGAAGGUAGUAAUCAACAUAGUAUGAUAAUGUAAUAAUGUAAUGUUCCGCAAUAUAACGUAGUGUCACGUAAUAUAAUGUAAAACAGAAGGUAUUAUACUAAAGUAAAAUACAAAAUACAAAUACAAGAAGUGUGUUUAAUGAAAUAAUAUAGUACAAUCGUACAGAUUAUUAGCUACAAUAUUCCAUCUCUUAACCAGAAUAGCCUACAAGUUAAAUCAUAAAUUAUAAACUACAAAUUAUAAAUUAUAAAUCAUAAACCGUAAAUAAUUGUGGACACCGCUUGUCAGCACAAAGGAAAGAAAUUAGAGUAAAAUAAAUUAAACCCUUUGACUAUUAAUCAGAUAAACAAUGAGCAAAGAACGAAUGAAUGACUGAAUAAAUAAAUAGUAAUGAGUAAAUAAUAAGUGAAUAACGAAAGAUUGAAUAUAUGACUGCGAGCACAACUAUAGAAAUUAAGAAACUGGGAAAUUGAGGAACCGAGAAAUUGAGUAAAUAAAGAAAUAAGAAAAAGCGAAGAGGAAGUGAAAAUGAAAAUGGGAAAGUGUACUGCAAGCCGUAAAGUGUAAUGUGCAAGCAAAAUAACCAGCACAAUACACUGUGAUAUAAAAGAAAAGAAAAUAAAGAAUGAAUGAUACCGUGAAGGUAUAGCAUAGAUACAGUGAAGUGAAUUUCAAAAUAAUAUAACCAUAGAUAACAUAAACCAUAGAAUAGACACCUUCAAAGAUGUCGGGUAACAGAAUAUACAUAACCUUAACCCUAACCCCUAAUGUGUCAAAACAAGGAUUGUCAACAGAAAGCAAGAAGAGUGUAAGAAGACUCGUUAAGAAUGGGAACAAGAACAAGAUUACCUACUAAAAAGCCUGAUAGUCAACUCAGAAAAAGGAAACAAGCAAGAAAAGCACACUGUCACCCUAUUAUGACAGAACUAUAAAAUACCAAUACCUGAGAGAGACAUCAUGAAUUAAUUGAAUUAACGAAUAUCAAAAAAGAAUCAGAAUAUCCAAGGAUAUAACAGGUGACAACCAAGGAAACGACAGUAAAAUAAAAUAAAUAGUGAUAAACAGUGAUAACGCGGCACAAAUAACUAAAUAUAAAAUAUAAGUAUAUUGAAUAUAGAAUAACCGCAUCAAAGCAAACCAUAAAUAUAUUAAUUUAAUCUACAACACUUUGUACCACCAUAAAUAUAAAAUUAAACUAAAUCAUAACAGUAACUUUAAUUCAGUUAAUACAGAAUGAAUGAACAAUAACGGAGUGAAAGAAUGAACGAAUUAUCAGUGAAGUUAUUAAUAAAGAAAUUAAAGAGAAUGAAGUGAAUAGGAAGCGUAAAGUAUAAAGUGAAAGCCACGACCAGCAUAAUGUAAUAAUAUAGGGUAAAGCAACACAGUGUAAUAUAAUGCAAUGUAAUAUAAUAAUGUAAAACAAAUGAUAUAUAAUAAAAUAAAGUAGAAUAUAAAAUACAAGAAGUGGACUCAAAAUAUAACCGUAAAGCUUAUUAACUAAAUACUCUAUUUCUUUACCAAAGUAAAUUAUAUGUUAAAUGGUAAAUGGUGGAUGAUAAGUGAUCGUGUCAAUGCAAAUGUACAUAGAACCAAUUAUUUCAUGACAUUUCAAAAUAAGGAAAUAAACAACAUGUAAAUAAAUCAAAUCAAAUGUAAACUGUGUAAUUCAGUUAAACACUAUGCUACUGCAUAGUGUAAGAAUAAAUCAAUCAAUCAAUCAAUAAGUAAAGUAUUCUAAACUAAUAUUUAAAAUGGUGAAAUUAAACAGAACCCGCGCAGCAUGAAAGCAUUUGAAUGGACAAACCACUCAUCAUCACAGAAGAAUGGCAAAAUUAAUUAAGAUAAAUCAAGAUAGAUCAAAUCAAAUCACCAACCUCAGCUGGUCAGAAUAAAUAAAUGAAUGAAUAACGAAUAACGAAUAAUGAAUAAAUGAAUGAAUGAAUGAAUGAAUAAGUCAAGGAAAAGAGAAACAACAGAAUACUAGCAAGUACGAGUAAGCAAACCCUAAUGCUUCAAAGUCACGGUGUCAAAACUAGCAUGCAAGGACCAGCUAAAAGGAACGACAUUAAAUAGGAGAACUGGAUUGCAACUAAAGGAAAGGAGAAGAAAGGAAGAAACAGCCCACCAUCAUGGAGAGCAACAUUGAGAGCAACAUUAUGACCAGAGAGAGACGUCAUGAAUAAGCUGGAUUAAAGAAAAUCAAAAGAACAUCAAAGCAUUAAUGAAUAUCAAGGAUGCACAGGGAAGAACAAUCAAGAGACGAUAAUGAAACAAAAUGUAUGACAGCGAUAACGCGACCUAAUAAAUUAGAGUAAUAAAUAUAUUAAAUACAAUAUAUAAAGAAUAACCAUGGAAGCAGAUCAAAUAUAUUAAUACUAAUACAAUCUACAGAACUUUGUACCAUCGUGUGUUAAAAUAAACUAAAUCAUAACAGUUACUUUAGUUCAAUUUUAUUCAGGACGAAUGAACAGUAACAGAGCGAAGGUAGUAAUCAACAUAGUAUGAUAAUGUAAUAAUGUAAUGUUCCGCAAUAUAACGUAGUGUCACGUAAUAUGAAAUAUGAUGUAAAACAGAAGGUUUUGUACUAAAGUAAAAUACAAAAUACAAAUA